UACGGGGGGGGCAAGCGUUGUUCGGAAUUACUGGGCGUAAAGGGCGCGUAGGCGGCCUGCUAAGUCGGAUGUGAAAUCCCACGGCUCAACCGUGGAACUGCUGGGCAUACUGACGAUCUUGAGGCACUCAGGGGCUGUCGGAACAAAUGGUGGAGCGGUGAAAUGCGUAGAUAUCAUUUGGAACGCCAACGGUGAAAACAGACAGCUGGGGGUGUCCUGACGCUGAGACGCGAAAGCCAGGGGAGCGAACGGG
rnacentral:rRNA from 1 species